GGCCUCGUCGCCAAGUGGUAAGGCAACGGUUUGCAAAACCGUCAUUCGCCGGUUCGAAUCCGGCCGAGGCCU
rnacentral:tRNA from 2 species